rnacentral:sRNA from 1 species
CCGGGGGAUAGGCCGACGGGCUGAAAGGUGGGGACUCCGACCCCGCUUCCCCCGGAUCAAUUUGCGGA